GACGAGCUGCAGUUGCUCAUCCGAAAUACUCCUAUGAAAGCAGACAGAGGUCGGGACGUGUUUGAACAAGAUGAGCAGUCGUGGUGAACUGUUAGACGAAGAGUUGCAGGUGAUUCGCUGCUCACCCUCAAGGUCACGCACAAGGGAGGCGUCUGGUCUCAGAUUCUUUACCAUGACAACAACCCCAAGAAUACAGCCAGAGUUGUGAAGAGCUAUGAGUCCUGCUGCAGCCGGAUCUCUACUGAUGGAGCCAAUCCCAUCUGACACUGAGCGAGAGCUGAAAAGUCUGACAAGCCUUUCUCCACUGGGACGUGACUGACAGUGAAAUGAUCCGUCUCAUGGCCCGGGCUCCUCAACAACGCUCUUUAUGGCAUGUCAUCACACUGUGUUCCAGGCUGUGUUUAUGUUCUGCAUUUUACUUACUGUCAACAGACUCCAUAAAAAGAUCAUAAGCAACAAUGAAUUCAUCCAUAAUAACAAAUAUUUUCCCACUACUUUUAAAAACUAUUAAAGAGACAUCAGUGAGUCAUCGUGCUGCAGCAGGUGACAUGUUCCUUUAUUACCAUUGUCAGGGAAUGAGGGACAAAGACACCUUUAAUAAUGUGUGUGACAUAUAUUAUGCCCCCCCCCCCCCAGAUGUUUGAUGCGGCCAUUCUUCAUCAAACAUCUGUGCACAAGGGUUUUUCUUCAUCAACCAUGAACCUGGUCCCUCACCUUAACCAUCUUGCUGAUGUAAACACUCAGAACAUCACAUGUGCAUUAAUCCACCACUGAAAAUAGCAAAUGCAGAAUUGAACCUGGAUUUAAUUAGUAUUUAACCCUGUGUAGAAGUGACAGGGCAGGAAGGUCUGACACUAAUACACCACAGCCGGGCUUGAUCAGGAUUUGUAACAACUGAAUAAAGAGCCUUAAUCAUACCCGAUUUGA